rnacentral:rRNA from 1 species
UGGGGAAUAUUGCACAAUGGGCGGAAGCCUGAUGCAGCGACGCCGCGUGAGGGAUGACGGCCUUCGGGUUGUAAACCUCUUUCAGUAGGGACGAAGCGUAAGUGACGGUACCUGCAGAAGAAGCACCGGCUAACUACGUGCCAGCAGCCGCGGUAAUACGUAGGGUGCGAGCGUUGUCCGGAAUUACUGGGCGUAAAGAGCUCGUAGGUGGUUUGUCGCGUCGUCUGUGAAAUUCCGGGGCUUAACUCCGGGCGUGCAGGCGAUACGGGCUGACUUGAGUGCUGUAGGGGAGACUGGAAUUCCUGGUGUAGCGGUGAAAUGCGCAGAUAUCAGGAGGAACACCGAUGGCGAAGGCAGGUCUCUGGGCAGUAACUGACGCUGAGGAGCGAAAGCAUGGGUAGCGAACAGG